rnacentral:lncRNA from 1 species
CUGGGACCUGUCUCCCAGGGCCCCCUCCGCUUGGGUGCACACUGGGACGCUGCCUGGGACCCUGCCUGUGUGCCUACAUGUGUACCGAUGUGUGUGCCAACCUGUGUGCCAACCUGCGUGCCCACCUGGGUACAUACCUGUCUGCACACCUAGGUACCCACCACUCCCCGAUUUCUGAAGAAGCAUUCCAAGAGCUACCACAAGCUACACUGAGGCAAGCACUCAGGCAGCUCAAGCAGCUCAAGCAGCUCUGAUUCUGACUGAAGAGAACAUCUCCUGCCUGUGUGGAGGUGAAGCCCCGAGGAGACAAUAAACGAAGACAAAUGCCCCGCA